CUUCUCUGGAUAAGGCAGAGGAUAGUGAAGGGAGGCUUUAACCUUGUACUGUUGUUAUACAAUUCAAUAUUGAAGCGAGAGAUUCUCCAGAACUUGCCCAGAAGCCAAGACGUCUGGAAAGGAUCUCAGCCUCUGUCAGCCUGCAGCUUGGGAAGAGUGAUUCACAGAGCCUGACUGUCCACUGCUGCUAAACCGUACACUGGCCUUGGCUCACACAUCUGACUGAACUGUCUCCUAUGACUAACUGCCUCUCUUUCUUCAGCCUUGCAAGUUUCCUGGGAGUCCUGGGAGUGGACUUCACAUAUAAAAGGGGACUCUGGGAGACCUAGUUCCUGGCUUCUCUUCUGGAAGUCAGGGAAGAGUAUAGGAAGGAGUGGCCACAGUGCCCAACUGACAAUUGACAAUUUCACCAACUGAGUUUCUGGAGGACUGCAAUUUAAUAUGUUCAAAGAAUAGUCCAAGAAGCCACUCCGGACCCUCAGCAUUAAGACGAAGGAGGGGGCAAACAGAUUUUUUAAGGCGCUCCAAGUUCUCAGAUUUCAGGUGAGAAAAUCGAGGCAACAAGAGGUUGGUUAACGUGCCCAAGAUCAGAUCGCACAGCGGUAUAAUAGGAUGGAAAACUCCUAUCACAUAAUGAACGUUAAGUGAAAAAAAUUAGUAUCCAAAACUACAUACCCAGGAACGAUACUGUGCAUCUUUCAAUCUAAUCAAGUUGACAAUAUUAACCAUCACAGACACCCACACAGAGAAAAUGGCCACAUGAAGACAGAGAAAUGGACUGAUGCAUCUGCAAGCCAAGGAGUGCCAAAGACUGUCAGCAAACGACUUAAAGACAAGAA